rnacentral:rRNA from 1 species
UACGUAGGGGGCAAGCGUUGUCCGGAAUUAUUGGGCGUAAAGAGCGUGUAGGCGGCCAGAUAAGUCCGCUGUGAAAUCUCGAGGCUCAACUUCGAGCUGUCGGUGGAAACUAUCUGGCUAGAGUCCGGAAGAGGAGAAUGGAAUUCCUGGUGUAGCGGUGAAAUGCGCAGAUAUCAGGAAGAACACCCGUGGCGAAGGCGGCUCUCUGGUACGUGACUGACGCUGAGACGCGAAAGCGUGGGGAGCAAACAGG